AACGAACGCUGGCGGCAGGCUUAACACAUGCAAGUCGAACGGGUGUAGCAAUACAUCAGUGGCAGACGGGUGAGUAACACGUGGGAACCUCCCUAGGGGUACGGAACAACUCAGGGAAACUUGAGCUAAUACCGUAUACGUCCGUGAGGAGAAAGAUUUAUCGCCCUUAGACGGGCCCGCGUCGGAUUAGCUAGUUGGUGGGGUAACGGCCUACCAAGGCGACGAUCCGUAGCUGAUCUUAGAGGAUGAUCAGCCACACUGGGACUGAGACACGGCCCAGACUCCUACGGGAGGCAGCAGUGGGGAAUCUUGGACAAUGGGCGCAAGCCUGAUCCAGCCAUGCCGCGUGAGUGAAGAAGGUCUUCGGAUUGUAAAGCUCUUUUGCCAGGGACGAUAAUGACGGUACCUGGAGAAUAAGCCCCGGCAAACUUCGUGCCAGCAGCCGCCGUAAUAC
rnacentral:rRNA from 1 species